GACGAACCGUGCGAACGUUGUUCGGAUUCACUGGGCUUAAAGGGCGCGUAGGCGGACGGUCAAGUCGGGGUGAAAUCCUGGAGCUCAACUCCAGAACUGCCUUCGAUACUGAGAGUCUUUGAGUUCGGGAGAGGUGAGUGGAACUGCGAGUGUAGAGGUGAAAUUCGUAGAUAUUCGCAAGAACACCAGUGGCGAAGGCGACUCACUGGACACGUAUUGACGCUGAGGUGCGAAAGCGUGGGAGCAACAGGG
rnacentral:rRNA from 1 species